rnacentral:lncRNA from 1 species
AGAAAGAGUUGCCACAAGCAUAUACGAGGCAAAGAGCGUCUCCAUGAAGGGUUUCCAAUUCCUAUUCUAGCCCUUCCACCAUCAAGCUUCGGAAGUCUGUAAGCCAAAUUCAUUUAAUUUUACUUUAUCUGGCAUUUAUAUCUUACUAUACUAUUUUUAGUAAUUCUAAUAUAUAUAUAUAUAUAUUUUUCAAAAGCAAAUUACCAAUUCAUACCAUUUCCGGUAAUCAUCAUGCGCUCUGCUUCUUCUGUUACUCUGGUUAUUUCGGCUCCAGCAGGCUCCCUAUCAAUCCAGAAAUUAACAAGAUAUAAGCCAAAAGAUAUAAGCCACGGAGAGAGAGAGAGAGAGAGAGAGAGAGAGAGAGAGAGAGAGAGAGAGAGAGAGAGAGAGAGAGAGAGAGAGAGAGAGAGAGAUGAAGAGAAUCUGGAAAACACUGAGCCAUGAAAUACCAGAGGGCAUUGAGAGAUUGAACCACUCUUUAACUCCUGAGAUGUUUGAGAAGCUGCAUCAUGCCGUGCAAUUCGUUGAUGACUUGAAGACCACGACCGUUUUUUCUGUUUUGGGGGCUGCUGCGGUAUCCUGCUUGUCUUUGACUGUGACGGCAGACUCAUGUUUUAUCAUGGUCAGAGCCCCGAACGCAAGGGAGAAGAGAGCGGCGGCUG